AGGAACAGCAUAAAUAUACAACUGGAUGGUAGAUGUGGGUCUGCUGUGCCAGAAGAUGAAGAUGAAACAGCUGUAAGCUACUGGAAGCUGGGACAGCCACGUGACCCACGGCCUCUGGACUGCCAUCAGUCUGCAUUAGCUGGUCACCAGAGCAUCUCCAGGAUGGAAACCAAACAGAGGCAUAUGAGCCUGUUCAUAAGACUUCUUUUAAAGAAAUGUUAUUUUAAUUAUAAUUGUGAAAAUGUCUUUGGCUUAUCUACAUGCUAUUAACAUAUGAGCAAGGUGAACCGUGCUUAUAGGAUGUGAGUGAUGAAAAGACAGCCUAUUCUUGGCCAAGCCUAGCUGAGUCUUUGUCUGGAGCUGAAGUCACAGGUGCUGACUGAGGACAGGUGCACCCCGGUCCCUUAGGCCCGAGGUCCUUCCUUGAUUCUGAUAUCAGCCUGCAGAAAAGCAAGAAAGUGCUGUUCCUGAAGCUUCCUUUGGCUCCUGCUGCUGCAGCCCCUGUGCUCUUGUGAAGACGGUGACAGGGACUAGCGCAUCCCUAACACAGAGCACUUUACCAGAUGCUGCUGUGGUUGCCCUCUGAGGUUCCAGAUCUCACUUGUUGGCCUGAACUUGACCCUCCCUCCCUUCUUACCAACCCAACUUUGUUCUUCCUCUCUCUUCAAAAACAAAACAAAAACAAGCAAAAAACAACACACACACACCAAGAAAACCAGAAAUCAAAAUAGCAAGCAAGAG
rnacentral:lncRNA from 1 species